rnacentral:RNase_P_RNA from 1 species
UCGGGCGGCCAGACGAUCGCGUGGCAUAGGCCAUGAGGAAAGUCCGAGCAUCGCAGAGCAGGAUGCCGGUUAACGACCGGUGGAGGCAACUUCAAGGAGAGUGCAACAGAGAUAUACCGCCAUGGGCAACCAUGGUAAGGCUGGAAAGGCGAGGUAAGAGCUCACCCAUGCGCUUGGUAACAGGCGCGUGCUGCAAACCCCAUCCGAUGCAAGAUCCGAUCAGAAACAAUACGGCUGCUCGUCGUGUUUCUAAAGAGAUCGCUUGAGCCGUGUGGCAACAUACGGACCAGAUAGAUGAUCGUCCAACGACAGAACUCGGCUUACGACCGCACCGAUAGC